ACCUUAAGUGGUGUAGUUGGUAGCACCUUGGCACAGUAAUACUGUGUCCUAGGUUCGAGUCCCGGUUGGGGUA